GACGUAGGGCGCGAGCGUUGUCCGGAUUUAUUGGGCGUAAAGAGCUCGUAGGCGGCUUGUUGCGUCGGCUGUGAAAACCCGUGGCUUAACUGCGGGCUUGCAGCUGAUACGGGCGGGCUGGAGUUCGGUAGGGGAGACUGGAAUUCCUGGUGUAGCGGUGAAAUGCGCAGAUAUCAGGAGGAACACCGGUGGCGAAGGCGGGUCUCUGGGCCGAUACUGACGCUGAGGAGCGAAGGCGUGGGGAGCGAACAGG
rnacentral:rRNA from 1 species